GGUCAGACACAGUUGAAAGUAGAUUUAUUGUAGUUUUCAUUGGAAGUUUGAGAAUGAAAAACUGAACAUGAACUGAAGAUUUCCGAACUAUCCCGUCCAUCGUCAUUAACAAUUUACUCGCUUGCACAGCCGCUACUUCCACACAACGACAUUUUAGAUGUCACAGAUUUAGAUUGGACCACCGCUUGUAGCAUUGAAUAGGUCAAACAUGUCAUGAUAUAAACAGGAAGUACAAAAAUACUACAAGAAGUAAAAAAAUAUAUUUUAAAUUUGCAAUGGGAAAGACGGCUCGAGUGCUUCAUAACUUUCAUCGGCAAAUACAGUUUAUAAAUUGUCCGUGUUCCCUCAUACAAUCGAUACCUGCAUAUAUUUUAAAACUGACUGUAAAUAAAUAUUUAUUGAAUA